UGAGGAAUAUUGGGCAAUGCCCGCAAGGGUGACCCAGCAACGCCGCGUGGAGGAUGAAUGUCGUAAGAUUGUAAACUCCUGUUAGAGGGGAAGAAUAGUACCGGUUGGACCGGUAUAUGACUGUACCCUCAGAGAAAGCCCCGGCUAACUACGUGCCAGCAGCCGCGGUAAUACGUAGGGGGCAAGCGUUGUCCGGAUUUACUGGGUGUAAAGGGCGCGCAGGCGGGAUAAAAAGUCAGUGGUGAAAUCCUACAGCUUAACUGUAGAAUUGCCUUUGAUACUGCUCAUCUUGAGUGUGGGAGAGGUUGAUGGAAUUCCAGGUGUAGCAGUGAAAUGCGUAGAUAUCUGGAAGAACACCAGUGGCGAAGGCGGUCAACUGGCCCAUAACUGACGCUCAUGCACGAAAGCGUGGGGAGCAAACA
rnacentral:rRNA from 1 species